rnacentral:lncRNA from 1 species
UGUGCAUUGUAUUUUAUUUAUUUAAUAAACACAUUAGCAGUCAGUGUUCUAAGGAGUUUAAUCAAUCACUUAAAAAAUCACUUUUUUUUUUUUUUUUUUUUGUUCUAAGGAGUUUAAUCAAUCACUUAAAAAAUCACUUUUUUUUUUUUUUUUUUACAGUACAUGGAACUCUACGUUGCCAAAAUACCGUUUAACUUCAGGGUGCAUUGAAGAACAAUAAUAAAGGCGAGAAAAUUGGAAAGGAUUUAGUAACCAUUUAUACCGUUACCUCUCCUUAAUUUGCCUUUCUACAAAAUGGUGCAAGUCAUAUCUUUCUUGGGAGUUGGUAGAGUGAACAUGGGGGAGCUUUGACCUCCUUUCAAGUUCAUUUUACUUACAGGACAUGGAACGAAGGGUCUUUUUUUUUUUUUUUUUUUCAUGUAUGCCUAUAGUUGUGAAGCUGCACAACAUAACAAUAUCUUCAAGGCCACAGGAUAGAGAUAACCCUUGUUUUGGUGUAUGCAUUUGGCUCCUUAUUUUCCAUGUCCGAGCCUGUGGUUUAUCUCUCAAGGAUGUGCCUGGGGGAGGAGACUUACACUGCCUGGACCGCCUGGCUGAUUUGAGCUAGUUUGUCUGGUUGAGUUGGGUGUUUAAAUAGAAGGCACAACAACAACAGGUAAGAUUUUUUAAAAUAUCCUUGAAUUUCUUUGUGCUCUAUUGACAUUAUUAUAUUCAUUACAAACUUCUGAAUGUUAAGUCCUGUGUUAAAUAGCCAGAGAGGGGAAGGUGGUGGGCAGUUGGGAGAGUGGUG